CCUACGGGAGGCAGCAGUGAGGAAUAUUGGACAAUGGUCGGAAGACUGAUCCAGCCAUGCCGCGUGCAGGAAGACGGCCUUAUGGGUUGUAAACUGCUUUUGCAGGGGAAGAAUAAGGACUAGGGGUAGUUUGAUGACGGUACUCUGCGAAUAAGCAUCGGCUAAAUGCGUGCCAGCAGCCGCGGUAAU
rnacentral:rRNA from 1 species